rnacentral:rRNA from 1 species
GGAAUAUUGGACAAUGGGGGGAACCCUGAUCCAGCCAUGCCGCGUGUGUGAAGAAGGCCUUUUGGUUGUAAAGCACUUUAAGCGAGGAGGAGGCUCCCAGUAUUAAUACUACUGGAGAGUGGACGUUACUCGCAGAAUAAGCACCGGCUAACUCUGUGCCAGCAGCCGCGGUAAUACAGAGGGUGCAAGCGUUAAUCGGAUUUACUGGGCGUAAAGCGUGCGUAGGUGGCCAAUUAAGUCAAAUGUGAAAUCCCCGAGCUUAACUUGGGAAUUGCAUUCGAUACUGGUUGGCUAGAGUAUGGGAGAGGAUGGUAGAAUUCCAGGUGUAGCGGUGAAAUGCGUAGAGAUCUGGAGGAAUACCGAUGGCGAAGGCAGCCAUCUGGCCUAAUACUGACACUGAGGUACGAAAGCAUGGGGAGCAAACAGGAUUAGAUACCCCGG